rnacentral:rRNA from 1 species
GACGAACGCUGGCGGCGUGCCUAAUACAUGCAAGUAGAACGCUGAAGAGAGGAGCUUGCUCUUCUUGGAUGAGUUGCGAACGGGUGAGUAACGCGUAGGUAACCUGCCUUGUAGCGGGGGAUAACUAUUGGGAACGAUAGCUAAUACCGCAUAACAAUGGAUGACACAUGUCAUUUAUUUGAAAGGGGCAAUUGCUCCACUACAAGAUGGACCUGCGUUGUAUUAGCUAGUAGGUGAGGUAAUGGCUCACCUAGGCGACGAUACAUAGCCGACCUGAGAGGGUGAUCGGUCACACUGGGACUGAGACACGGCCCAGACUCCUACGGGAGGCAGCAGUAGGGGGUCUUCGGCAAUGGGGGCAACCCUGACCGAGCAACGCCGCGUGAGUGAAGAAGGUUUUCGGAUCGUAAAGCUCUGUUGUAAGUCAAGAACGGGUGUGAGAGUGGAAAGUUCACACUGUGACGGUAGCUUACCAGAAAGGGACGGCUAACUACGUG